rnacentral:rRNA from 1 species
UCGGGUAGUUUAACUAUCUAUAUGCUAGGAAUACUACUAUACUAGAGGGCGGGAGAGGUCUGAGGUACUGCAGGGGUAGGGGUGAAAUCCUAUAAUCCUUGUUGGACCACCAGUGGCGAAGGCGUCAGACUGGAACGCGCCUGACGGUGAGGGACGAAAGCCAGGGGAGCGAACCGGAUUAGAUACCCGGGUAGUCCUGGCCGUAAACGAUGCAUACUAGGUGAUGGCACGGCCAUGAGCCGUGUCAGUGCCGUAGGGAAACCGUUAAGUGUGCCGCCUGGGAAGUACGGUCGCAAGGCUAAAACUUAAAGGAAUUGGCGGGGGAGCACCACAAGGGGUGAAGCCUGCGGUUCAAUUGGACUCAACGCCGGAAAACUUACCUGGGGAGACAGCAGUAUGACGGUCAGGUUGACGACCUUACCUAACGAGCUGAGAGGAGGUGCAUGGCCGUCGCCAGUUCGUGCCGUGAGGUAUCCUGUUAAGUCAGGCAACGAACGAGAUCCGCACCUUUAUUUGCCACCAAGAAGUCACGACUUCGUUGGGAACACUAAAGGGACCGCCGUCGAUAAGACGGAGGAAGGAGCGGGCAAAGGCAGGUCAGUAUGCCCCGAAACCCCUGGGCUACACGCGGGCUGCAAUGGUAUGACCAAUGGGCUGUGACUCCGAAAGGAGAAACCAAUCCCGAAAUCAUAUCUCAGUUGGAAUUGUCGGCUGUAACCCGCCGACAUGAACGCGGAAUCCCUAGUAAUCGUGUGUCAUCAUCGCACGGUGAAUACGUCUCUG